GCCUCAGUAGCUCAGGGGAUAGAGCAGCGGCCUUCUAAUCCGCCGGUCGGGGGUUCGAUUCCCUCCUGGGGCACCU
rnacentral:tRNA from 1 species